rnacentral:rRNA from 1 species
UGGGGAAUAUUGGACAAUGGGGGCAACCCCUGAUCCAGCCAUGCCGCGUGAGUGAUGAAGGCCUUCGGGUUGUAAAGCUCUUUUGGCGGGGACGAUGAUGACGGUACCCGCAGAAUAAGCCCCGGCUAACUUCGUGCCAGCAGCCGCGGUAAGACGAAGGGGGCUAGCGUUGUUCGGAAUUACUGGGCGUAAAGCGAGUGUAGGCGGUUGCCGUAGUCAGGUGUGAAAGCCUUGAGCUCAACUCAAGAAAUGCACUUGAUACUGGGUGACUAGAGGACCGGAGAGGAUAGUGGAAUUCCCAGUGUAGUGGUGAAAUACGUAGAGAUUGGGAAGAACACCAGUGGCGAAGGCGGCUAUCUGGACGGUUACUGACGCU